AGAGUUUGAUCAUGGCUCAGAACGAACGUUAGCGGCGCGCCUAAUACAUGCAAGUCGUGCGAGAAAGGGCUUCGGCCCCAGUAAAGCGGCGCACGGGUGAGUAACACGUAGGUCAUCUCCCCUAGAGUGGUGGAUAACCCUCCGAAAGGAGGGCUAAUACAGCAUGAGACCACGAUCCCGCUGGGAUUGCGGUCAAAGCAGGCCUCUUCAUGAAAGCUUGCGCUCAAGGAUGAGCCUGCGGCCCAUCAGCUAGUUGGUAAGGUAACGGCUUACCAAGGCUAAGACGGGUAGCUGGUCUGAGAGGAUGAGCAGCCACACUGGAACUGAAACACGGUCCAGACUCCUACGGGAGGCAGCAGUAGGGAAUCUUGCGCAAUGGACGAAAGUCUGACGCAGCGACGCCGCGUGAGCGAUGAAGGCCUUCGGGUUGUAAAGCUCUGUGGGGAGAGACGAAUAAGGCAUGGCUAAUACCCCUGUCGAUGACGGUAUCUCCUUAGCAAGCACCGGCUAACUCUGUGCCAGCAGCCGCGGUAAGACAGAGGGUGCGAACGUUGUUCGGAAUUACUGGGCGUAAAGCGCGUGUAGGCGGCAGCGCAAGUCGGGCGUGAAAUCCCACGGCUCAACCGUGGAAGUGCACUCGAAACUGCGCAGCUAGAGUCCUGGAGAGGAAGGUGGAAUGCUUGGUGUAGAGGUGAAAUUCGUAGAUAUCAAGCGGAACACCGGUGGCGAAGGCGGCCUUCUGGACAGUGACUGACGCUGAGACGCGAAAGCGUGGGGAGCAAACAGGAUUAGAUACCCUAGUAGUCC
rnacentral:rRNA from 1 species